UUUUCGUUUUUAUUUUCAUUUUCCGGCGAAAAAAUCCGCGGAGAUAAAUUGGCAAAAACAUGCGUCGGCUCAAAUACGUGUUUACUAUUACCCUUCAUUUCUCUUCUUCAUAUAGAAGCCCCAGGGCCUCGUGUUUUAAUUCAGCGUUGAUUAAAAGAGAUUUUCCCGUACAAGAAAAAACAUGUAUUACAAGUGACUGUACCGCAAUAUCAACAAGCCUUAUAAAAAUAUUUACACAACUUAAACGAACCUGUGACG